UCGGUCCCUCGCAAUCAGUCGCUUCACUCGCCCUUGCUUCCUUCGCCGAACCCUCCCUUCCUUCGUGCUCGUUCUGGUUCCUCCCAACCCUUGCAAUCGCCGGCGACGCCUAAACCAUUUUUGAUCCGAUCUCUGCCUUAGUCCCCUCAGCGAUCCCUCGUCGAAACAGUCUCCACCUUAGUUCUUUCUCUGCCUAAACCCUUGUCGCUUCCAGUACAUUAAAAAAAAAUUCUCCGCCUAAACCCUUGUCGCUUCCAGUACAUAAUAAAAAAAUUUCGACCCCUCAGUCCCCUUUUCCUCUCUGUAAUCUGUAAUUUUUUUUGGGUACUUUUGCUUUUCUAUUUAAUUCUGGAGGUUUUUUUUGGGAAUUGUGCAGAUUAUUGUGUUGUCCAAGUUUUUUUUUUAUUGAGAUGUUAUUAUGUUGUCCAAAUUAUUGUGCUGUAUAGAUAUUUGUACAGAUUUGUUUUGCUGUCCAAGUUUUUUUAUUGAGGUGUUAUGUAGUUUGUUUGAACAUGCUAUUGCUAAGGGACUAACAUUUCGCACGUGUUAGCAUUUUAGCAGUUUGCCUUAAUCGAACAAAUUGCUAUUCCAUUCAAACAUAGAUUGAUUAAUAAAUUAAUUUUUGUUCAAUCUCGUAGUGUCUCGAGAAUAGUUAGAUUCUUCAAAGUCGUCACAACGGACACGGAAUCAAACACGGCCGAAUCACCAUUUUCAAAUUUCAUCAGGGCCCAUCAUCCUCUAUCCUUUUGAAAUAAGGAAUUGGAUUUUGAGCAUAAUGAUGAUUUUAAUGUGAAAAGACCAAAGAUGAAGAAGAAAACUCACUCAAGUCAUUUGUCAUGCCUCAUGAUGCUUUUGAAUGAUUAUUAUUGAACUAGGAAUGUAAUGUAAUAGGCC